GGCCAGCGGCCAAAGGGAGCAGACUGUAAAUCUGCCGUCAUCGACUUCGAAGGUUCGAAUCCUUCCCCCACCA
rnacentral:tRNA from 1 species